AGACUAAGCCAUGCAUGUCUAAGUAUAAGUAUUAUACAGCGAAACUGCGAAUGGCUCAUUAAAACAGCUAUAGUUUAUUUGAUAAUCAAACUUACAUGGAUAACCGUAGUAAUUCUAGAGCUAAUACAUGCUGUGCGCCUAACUUCAUGGAAAGGCGGUAUUUAUUAGAUAACAACCAAUAUUCCCUAGGUCUAUCGUGGUGAGUCAUAAUAACUGAUCGAAUUGCAAAGCCUUUGGCUGCGAUAAGUCAUUCAAGUUUCUGCCCCAUCAGCUGUAGAUGGUAGUGUAUUGGACUACCAUGGCUUUCACGGGUAACGGAGGAUUAGGGUUCGAUUCCGGAGAGGGAGCCUGAGAAACGGCUACCACAUCUAAGGAAGGCAGCAGGCGCGUAAAUUACCCAAUCCUGACUCAGGGAGGUAGUGACAAGAAAUAACGAGCAGUGACAUCUGUUACUGAAUUGCAAUGAGCCGAAUUUACACCACUUAGUGAGGAUCGAUUGGAGGGCAAGUCUGGU
rnacentral:rRNA from 1 species